rnacentral:lncRNA from 1 species
GCCACUAAUGGACUCCAUGCACUGGUGGUAGUGGCCCCCUGGGCCCAGCUGUCUUUCAUACUCUCUCUUAGUUUCAUGUCUUUCUUUCUACAAUCUCUCAUCUCCACACACGAAGAGAAAACCCACAAGGCCCUGUAGGGCUGGACGCUACAAGGAACCUCUCCCACCCCCAUACUUUAGGGACUUUUAUGGAGACUUCAGCGCAUAAGUAGGAUAGAUUAGUAAUUCCAGCUCCAGUUCCCUCUUCUUCCGGAAAGAUGUGGAGUGGGAUGGGGCUACAGGUUCCAUGCUUCUAAUAUUGACUGAGUCUUGCUGGUGAUCAGCCCCCAUCAGGAGCCCACCAAGAGUCACCUCAUUAGAAAAAAAGGUGCUCUCAGCUGGGUGUGGUGGCUCACGCCUGUAAUCCCAGCACUUUGGGAGGCCAAGGGGGUAGAUCACCUGAAGUCAGGAGUUCCAGACCAACCUUGCCAACAUGGUGAAACCCCCGUCUCUACUAAAAAUACAAAAAUUAGCCAGGCAUGGUGGCGGGCACCUGUAGUCCCAGCUACUUGGGAGGCUGAAGCAGGAGACUUGCUUGAACCCAGGAGGCAGAGGUUGCAGUGUGUGGAGAUUGCACCACUGCACUCCAGCCUGGUGACAGAGCAAGACGCUGUCUCAA